GGCUGCAAUCGUCUCGUUAUCAACUCUGAUAAUAUGGAAGUCAUUGACACAAUGAAGAACGGUGAAGAGUCUGCGGGAGCAGCGGCGGCAAUUUUUGAGGAUUGUUUUUUUAUGGCCUGUGAUUUUUCACAAACCUUUAAACAUUAUGAUAGAGAAGCAAACAAAGUAGCUCAUGAACUUGCUAGAUUAGCAAAAUGUUUCAUGACUAGAGAUUGGAUAGAAGAGCCCAUGGAAAAUGUUGUAACUCUUCUGAUAGACGAUGUAACCAUUAUUUCUAAUUAA
rnacentral:rRNA from 1 species